rnacentral:rRNA from 1 species
UUUGGUUUGCUUGCAAACCAAAGCUGGCGACCGGCGCACGGGUGAGUAACACGUAUCCAACCUGCCUCAUACUCGGGGAUAGCCUUUCGAAAGAAAGAUUAAUAUCCGAUAGCAUAUAUUUCCCGCAUGGGUUUUAUAUUAAAGAAAUUCGGUAUGAGAUGGGGAUGCGUUCCAUUAGUUUGUUGGGGGGGUAACGGCCCACCAAGACUACGAUGGAUAGGGGUUCUGAGAGGAAGGUCCCCCACAUUGGAACUGAGACACGGUCCAAACUCCUACGGGAGGCAGCAGUGAGGAAUAUUGGUCAAUGGACGCGAGUCUGAACCAGCCAAGUAGCGUGAAGGAUGACUGCCCUAUGGGUUGUAAACUUCUUUUAUAUGGGAAUAAAGUGGUCCACGUGUGGACUUUUGUAUGUACCAUAUGAAUAAGGAUCGGCUAACUCCGUGCCAGCAGCCGCGGUAAUACGGAGGAUCCGAGCGUUAUCCGGAUUUAUUGGGUUUAAAGGGAGCGUAGGCGGAUUGUUAAGUCAGUUGUGAAAGUUUGCGGCUCAACCGUAAAAUUGCAGUUGAUACUGGCAGUCUUGAGUGCAGUAGAGGUGGGCGGAAUUCGUGGUGUAGCGGUGAAAUGCUUAGAUAUCACGAAGAACUCCGAUUGCGAAGGCAGCUCACUGGAGUGUAACUGACGCUGAUGCUCGAAAGUGUGGGUAUCAAACAGGAUUAGAUACCCUGGUAGUCCACACAGUAAACGAUGAAUACUCGCUGUUUGCGAU